GCCUUACACAUGCAAGUCGAACGGCAGCAUGAUCUAGCUUGCUAGAUUGAUGGCGAGUGGCGAACGGGUGAGUAAUACAUCGGAACGUGCCCUGUAGUGGGGGAUAACUAGUCGAAAGAUUAGCUAAUACCGCAUACGACCUGAGGGUGAAAGUGGGGGACCGCAAGGCCUCAUGCUAUAGGAGCGGCCGAUGUCUGAUUAGCUAGUUGGUGAGGUAAAGGCUCACCAAGGCGACGAUCAGUAGCUGGUCUGAGAGGACGAUCAGCCACACUGGGACUGAGACACGGCCCAGACUCCUACGGGAGGCAGCAGUGGGGAAUUUUGGACAAUGGGCGAAAGCCUGAUCCAGCAAUGCCGCGUGUGUGAAGAAGGCCUUCGGGUUGUAAAGCACUUUUGUCCGGAAAGAAAUGGCUCUGGUUAAUACCUGGGGUCGAUGACGGUACCGGAAGAAUAAGGACCGGCUAACUACGUGCCAGCAGCCGCGGUAAUACGUAGGGUCCAAGCGUUAAUCGGAAUUACUGGGCGUAAAGCGUGCGCAGGCGGUUGUGCAAGACCGAUGUGAAAUCCCCGAGCUUAACUUGGGAAUUGCAUUGGUGACUGCACGGCUAGAGUGUGUCAGAGGGGGGUAGAAUUCCACGUGUAGCAGUGAAAUGCGUAGAGAUGUGGAGGAAUACCGAUGGCGA
rnacentral:rRNA from 1 species